UGGAAGCAUUCUCUUUAGUUCCUAACUAGCAUAAAUCCUUCGUAUGCUAGACCAUUUGGAACACUGUGCUAUGAAGAGACGUUCACCAAGCUUUAUGGUUUAGAACUGUAUAUAUUAACUUGUGCUUUUCAUCCAUAGAGCUUGAGAUUUGACACUAUAGGCAAAAAGUUCUAUUGUUUGUUCCUAGACUGCAUACAUCCUCUUGUAGCUUUCACCAUAGAGCUCUGUAUCUGAUGCCACAGAUAUAGCAUAUGAAUGUGAAUGAGUUCCUG
rnacentral:misc_RNA from 1 species